UCAUCAUACAAAAGCACCUCUGGCUCUAUUGAUUUCUUUGUGAUAUCAAAAAUUAUAGAUCGAGCUAAGGCAACUCUUUUCUUCAUCCCACCAGACAGCUCUGAAGGUGUUCGAUCCUCAACCCCCUUCAAACCUACUGAAGCCAAUGUUUCUUUCACAAUCUCUAAGAUUUGUUCCUCUCCCAUGGUUGAGUUUUCAUAUAAAAGGAAACCAACAUUUUCACGUACAGUCAAAGAAUCAAAAAGUGCUGCACUUUGGAACACCAGUCCAAUUCGAAGCCCUGACAUAUCCUGAUCACUGAUUAAACCAUCUCUCCUUCUACCUCGGAUAAAGACCUCACCCUUGUCUGGAGCAAGAAGUCCGGCAAUGAUCUUUAAUAUUGUAGAUUUCCCAGUCCCUGAAGG
rnacentral:misc_RNA from 1 species